AUGGAUCGGGUCCGCGGCUCCGCGCUGCUGCUCGGCGUCCUGCUCGCAGGAUCGCUGUUUGCGCUUUGUGCUGCAAAGGAGGAGGCCAAGAAGCUCGGUACCGUGAUCGGUAUCGAUCUCGGUACCACCUACUCAUGUGUUGGUGUGUACAAGAACGGUCAUGUCGAGAUUAUCGCCAAUGACCAGGGUAACCGUAUCACGCCCUCAUGGGUUGGGUUCACCGAUGGGGAGAGGCUCAUCGGUGAGGCUGCCAAGAACCAGGCGGCUGUCAACCCUGAGAGGACCGUCUUUGACGUCAAGCGUCUCAUUGGAAGAAAGUUUGAGGACAAGGAGGUGCAGAGGGACAUGAAACUUGUCCCCUACAAGAUUGUGAACAAGGAGGGGAAGCCUUACAUCCAGGUCAAGAUCAAGGAUGGAGAGACCAAGGUCUUCAGCCCUGAGGAGAUCAGUGCUAUGAUUCUUGGAAAGAUGAAGGAGACCGCUGAGGCAUACCUUGGCAAGAAGAUCAAUGACGCCGUCGUCACUGUUCCUGCGUACUUCAAUGAUGCACAGAGACAGGCGACCAAGGAUGCUGGUGUGAUUGCUGGCCUCAAUGUGGCUAGGAUCAUCAAUGAGCCCACUGCUGCUGCUAUCGCCUAUGGUUUGGACAAGAGGGGUGGCGAGAAGAACAUCCUGGUGUUUGACCUGGGUGGUGGUACUUUUGAUGUCAGUAUCUUGACCAUUGACAAUGGUGUCUUUGAGGUGCUGGCCACCAACGGUGACACCCAUCUUGGAGGUGAGGACUUUGACCACAGAAUCAUGGAUUACUUCAUCAAGUUGAUCAAGAAGAAGCAUGGCAAGGACAUCAGCAAGGACAACCGUGCUCUUGGAAAGCUGAGGAGGGAAGCUGAGCGUGCCAAGAGAGCCCUCAGCAACCAGCACCAGGUCCGCGUUGAGAUCGAGUCCCUCUUUGACGGGACUGAUUUCUCGGAGCCACUGACCCGUGCCAGGUUCGAGGAGCUGAACAACGAUUUGUUCCGCAAGACCAUGGGACCCGUGAAGAAGGCCAUGGAUGAUGCUGGCCUCGAGAAGACCCAGAUCCACGAGAUUGUUCUUGUUGGAGGCAGCACCAGGAUUCCCAAGGUCCAGCAGCUCCUCAGGGACUACUUUGACGGCAAGGAGCCAAACAAGGGUGUGAACCCUGAUGAGGCUGUUGCCUUCGGAGCUGCAGUGCAGGGAAGCAUCUUGAGCGGCGAGGGCGGUGACGAGACCAAGGAUAUCCUCCUCCUCGAUGUGGCGCCCCUCACCCUCGGUAUCGAGACUGUUGGAGGAGUCAUGACCAAGCUGAUCCCCAGGAACACUGUCAUCCCCACCAAGAAGUCGCAGGUUUUCACCACCUACCAGGACCAGCAGACCACCGUCUCUAUCCAGGUCUUUGAGGGGGAGCGCAGCAUGACCAAGGACUGCCGUCUUCUCGGCAAGUUCGACCUUUCUGGCAUUCCCCCAGCUCCAAGGGGCACUCCUCAGAUCGAAGUCACCUUCGAGGUUGAUGCCAACGGUAUCCUGAACGUGAAGGCGGAGGACAAGGGCACCGGCAAGUCUGAGAAGAUCACCAUCACCAACGAGAAGGGCCGCCUGAGCCAGGAGGAGAUCGACCGGAUGGUCAAGGAGGCGGAGGAGUUUGCCGAGGAGGACAAGAAGGUGAAGGAGCGCAUCGACGCCCGGAACCAGCUUGAGACCUAUGUCUACAACAUGAAGAACACCGUCGGCGACAAGGACAAGCUGGCGGACAAGCUGGAGAGCGAGGAGAAGGAGAAGGUGGAGGAGGCCCUCAAGGAGGCUUUGGAGUGGCUGGACGAGAACCAGACGGCCGAGAAGGAGGACUACGAGGAGAAGCUCAAGGAGGUGGAGGCCGUGUGCAACCCCAUCGUGUCGGCCGUGUACCAGAGGUCCGGCGGAGCUCCGGGCGGCGAGGGCGCCGACGGCGGCGUCGACGACGAGGACCAUGACGAGCUGUAG
rnacentral:rRNA from 1 species